UAAUACGGGGGGAGCAAGCGUUGUUCGGAUUUACUGGGCGUAAAGGGCGCGUAGGCGGUCACCCAAGUCACUUGUGAAAUCUCCGGGCUCAACCCGGAGCGGCCAAGUGAUACUGGGCGACUGGAGUGCGGAAGGGGCAAUCGGAAUUCUCGGUGUAGCGGUGAAAUGCGUAGAUAUCGAGAGGAACACCUGCGGCGAAGGCGGGUUGCUGGGCCGACACUGACGCUGAGGCGCGAAAGCCAGGGGAGCGAACGGGAUUAGAUACCCCGGUAGUCCUGGCCUUAAACGAUGAAUGCUUGGUGUCCGGGGUUGUGAAGUCCCCGGGUGCCGUCGCUAACGCUUUUAGCAUUCCGCCUGGGGAGUACGGUCGCAAGACUG
rnacentral:rRNA from 1 species